GACGAACGCUGGCGGCGUGCUUAACACAUGCAAGUCGUACGGUAAGGCCCUUUCGGGGGUACACGAGUGGCGAACGGGUGAGUAACACGUGAGUAACCUGCCCACAACUUUGGGAUAACGCUAGGAAACUGGUGCUAAUACUGGCUAUGUGCUCCUGCUGCAUGGUGGGGGUUGGAAAGCUCCGGCGGUUGUGGAUGGACUCGCGGCCUAUCAGCUUGUUGGUGGGGUAGUGGCCUACCAAGGCGGCGACGGGUAGCCGGCCUGAGAGGGUGACCGGCCACAUUGGGACUGAGAGACGGCCCAGACUCCUACGGGAGGAAGCAGUGGGGAAUAUUGAACAAGGGGCGCAAGCCUGAGGCAGCAACGCCGCGGGCGGGAUGACGGCCUUCGGGUUGUAAACCGCUUUCAGCAGGGACGAAGCUUUUUGUGACGGUACCUGAAGAAGAAGCACCGGCUAACUACGUG
rnacentral:rRNA from 1 species